AUUGAACGCUGGCGGCAGGCCUAACACAUGCAAGUCGAGCGGAUGAAGGGAGCUUGCUCCUGGAUUCAGCGGCGGACGGGUGAGUAAUGCCUAGGAAUCUGCCUGGUAGUGGGGGAUAACGUCCGGAAACGGGCGCUAAUACCGCAUACGUCCUGAGGGAGAAAGUGGGGGAUCUUCGGACCUCACGUUAUCAGAUGAGCCUAGGUCGGAUUAGCUAGUUGGUGGGGUAAAGGCCUACCAAGGCGACGAUCCGUAACUGGUCUGAGAGGAUGAUCAGUCACACUGGAACUGAGACACGGUCCAGACUCCUACGGGAGGCAGCAGUGGGGAAUAUUGGACAAUGGGCGAAAGCCUGAUCCAGCCAUGCCGCGUGUGUGAAGAAGGUCUUCGGAUUGUAAAGCACUUUAAGUGGGGAGGAAGGGCAGUAAGUUAAUACCUUGCUGUUUUGACGUUACCAACAGAAUAAGCACCGGCUAACUUCGUG
rnacentral:rRNA from 1 species